UCAAAUACAUGUUCCACUGCUUUGCCAAUGU
rnacentral:piRNA from 1 species